rnacentral:rRNA from 1 species
GCGACGCUGGCGGCGUGCCUAAUCAUGCAAGUCGAGCGGACAGAUGGGAGCUUGCUCCCUGAUGUUAGCGGCGGACGGGUGAGUAACACGUGGGUAACCUGCCUGUAAGACUGGGAUAACUCCGGGAAACCGGGGCUAAUACCGGAUGGUUGUUUGAACCGCAUGGUUCAAACAUAAAAGGUGGCUUCGGCUACCACUUACAGAUGGACCCGCGGCGCAUUAGCUAGUUGGUGAGGUAAUGGCUCACCAAGGCAACGAUGCGUAGCCGACCUGAGAGGGUGAUCGGCCACACUGGGACUGAGACACGGCCCAGACUCCUACGGGAGGCAGCAGUAGGGAAUCUUCCGCAAUGGACGAAAGUCUGACGGAGCAACGCCGCGUGAGUGAUGAAGGUUUUCGGAUCGUAAAGCUCUGUUGUUAGGGAAGAACAAGUACCGUUCGAAUAGGGCGGUACCUUGACGGUACCUAACCAGAAAGCCACGGCUAACUACGUGCCAGCAGCCGCGGUAAUACGUAGGUGGCAAGCGUUGUCCGGAAUUAUUGGGCGUAAAGGGCUCGCAGGCGGUUUCUUAAGUCUGAUGUGAAAGCCCCCGGCUCAACCGGGGAGGGUCAUUGGAAACUGGGGAACUUGAGUGCAGAAGAGGAGAGUGGAAUUCCACGUGUAGCGGUGAAAUGCGUANGAUGUGGAGGAACACCAGUGGCGAAGGCGACUCUCUGGUCUGUANCUGACGCUGANGAGCGAAAGCGUGGGGAGCGAACAGGAUUA